CUGCGGGAGGGCAGGUCCUGGACUGGAACCGGGUGGGUCACUUUAAAUGUGUGAGGUGAAUGGAUGUCGCGGGAAGGGGAACUCCCUCCCCCAGCUCCCUUGGGCCCUGCACCUGCCCCAGCGCGGGUCGUCCGGCGCGUCCCCCGGGGCCACCUCGGCGAGUCCCUCCGGGUCUGGGCGUGUGACUGGCCGACCACCCGCAUGGCUCUCGCACCGCCCCAGUUAUCACCCUUGGCGGGACCGGGAGCUAAAGGGAUGGCGCGAGCUUGGAAGAGGUUUCGCUCCUUUAUUAACUAACUCAGACGGUUCCAGCCCAGCCGAACCCACGUGGGGUGGCGAAAUCUGAAAGAUUCCAGCUACGAACAGUUUGCAUGUUUGUUCCUCGGUCACUUUUUUUGGCAAGGCCAGAGAGCAACGAUGCCCUGAUCCAGCUGGGCAGAAGCAAAGACAACCCCAACAAAACUGGCUUCGGAGAAAUAUCUGGAUGCAGGGCAAAAGGUUUGCUCUUUAUUCACCAACGAGAAGUCAUUUCUUCAAAAUAAAGUUGAACAGGAAGAAAAAAAUAGCUUCUAAAAACAACCUUGAUUUAUCUAUAAUGAAGGGCACCAAUGGUUCAGAAUCCCUUCCAGCAAUACUAAGAAAACACGGUGGUUGAUGAAUCCCAAGACGUCUAUCCUGAAUCACAAAUUCCUGGGUGACUAAAAUAAAUUCCUAGAGCCAAACUUAAAUUGGGACUGUGACCGAGUACCAGAAAAGAAACACCUGCUUUAUUAACACAACAGCAACAGAAAGGGUUUCCAAGUUCUUCGAAGGAAAAUAACAUGAACAGGCAGCACCUGCUAAGUGUUACAAGACUCAGUGCCCACGCUGAUUGUUCGAGAGCUCCCCCCACCCCGCAGAUGUCUCCUCCCUCAGGGCUGCUGCCAAGAACAGGCUUCUCACUGCGGUAGCGUCACAGUUAAUUCCUCAAACAGGAGACUGAGAGGGUAUCAUUCCUGUUUCAGAAGAUCUUGGUGUUAAAGAAGCGGCGGCAGCAGCAGCUCUUAGUGUAGAGAACAUAGCCAUUUGGAAAACAUGCUUGUUUCUUGAAUUCAAGAAAAACCAUGAGCCAAUCUAUCAAUUCUUCUCCGCUCUGGUCUGCCAGAGUGGGGUCUGAAGAUUCCUUUUCUGUCGCUAUCACAUGUCUGGGUAAGAG